rnacentral:rRNA from 1 species
CUACGGGUCGCUCCAGUGGGGAAUUUUGGACAAUGGGGGCAACCCUGAUCCAGCCAUGCCGCGUGAGUGAAGAAGGCCUUCGGGUUGUAAAGCUCUUUCAGCCGGGAAGAAAUCGCAUGGGUUAAUACCCUGUGCGGAUGACGGUACCGGAAUAAGAAGCACCGGCUAACUACGUGCCAGCAGCCGCGGUAAUACGUAGGGUGCGAGCGUUAAUCGGAAUUACUGGGCGUAAAGCGUGCGCAGGCGGAUGCUUAAGUCAGAUGUGAAAUCCCCGGGCUUAACCUGGGAAUUGCAUUUGAAACUGGGUAGCUAGAGUGCGUCAGAGGGGGGUGGAAUUCCACGUGUAGCAGUGAAAUGCGUAGAUAUGUGGAGGAACACCAAUGGCGAAGGCAGCCCCCUGGGAUGACACUGACGCUCAUGCACGAAAGCGUGGGGAGCAAACAGGAUUAGAUACCCUGGUAGUC